CGCUCAGCUCUCUAUGUCUCUCUCUCCUUCUCUCAAGAGUAAGCACAUUAAAAAAAAACCCUCACAUUUUCAAGUGUUUGAGAUCAGGUCUGCCAACAACCCAGGCAGGUAGAAAACCAGUCGGGAAUAAAAUGCACUGACAUUACAGUCAGAAGAAAAAUGCUUAAUAAACUCUGGGAACUCAUUAUGAAUUUGGCAAAACUCAUUACAAGUUUUCUCUCCCAAAAAUCUAUUGGGAGAGAAGUACACAGUUGAAAAAAAGAGACCAGCUGUUUUUAGGUCAGCGCAGGCUAAAAACGAACCAGGAAAACACGAAAAUGCCUUUACCUUUCAGCGCACUGUCAUUGGCACCGAAGAAAAUGGUCACUGCUAUCGGGCUGUCCAAACCGGUCCCUUUCUUGAUUAAUCGUGGAAGGAUGAUUUUGGCCCAUCUGGUAUUGUAACCUGAAAAUCCACGAUUCAGAACAUCACAUUUUCUGAAAUGAAGAAUUUUUGAAGAUGAAUUCCACAAUUCCACGAGGAACAGUUUCCAGCUCCCUGCAGCAAACCGACGACUCGCUGACUCACGCGUGGGCGGGGACGUCCUCCUAACGGAGCUUACAGCCGGCCGGUCUCAAUCUGAGCAUCUUCAGUAGAGUCACCAACAAGUCGGAGCUCAAGGGUGACAGUGCUUUGGGUAAUUUGGGAUGUAUAUGGAAUAUUUUUGAGACUUUUACAGAGUAUUUUUUAAGAGGCAUUUCAGGUCUGCAGCAAAACGGAAAGGAACACAGCGUCUGCACACACCCCUCCCCCUCGGGCACAGCCUCUCGGACAACCAACAGCCCUGCGGUUCACAUUUGUGACGCGUGACAAAUGUACACUGACAUGUCACUGUCAGCACCCGAUGGCUUUGAUUCAAUCAUUUCAAUAAAUUUAUUAUUUAAGCA